GAUGAACGCUAGCGGCAGGCCUAACACAUGCAAGUCGAGGGGUAUCCCGCUUUCGGGCGGGAGAGACCGGCGCACGGGUGCGUAACGCGUAUGCAACCUACCCUGUACUGGGGGAUAGCCCGGAGAAAUUCGGAUUAACACCCCAUAGUACUAAUGAAUGGCAUCAUUUAUUAGUUAAAGGUUACGGUACAGGAUGGGCAUGCGUCCUAUUAGCUAGAUGGUAAGGUAACGGCUUACCAUGGCUACGAUAGGUAGGGGGCCUGAGAGGGUGGGCCCCCAGACUGGUACUGAGACACGGACCAGACUCCUACGGGGGGCAGCAGUGGGGAAGAUUGGUCAAUGGGCGCAAGCCUGAACCAGCCAUGCCGCGUACAGGAAGACGGUCCUAUGGAUUGUAAACUGCUUUUAUUUGGGAAUAAACCUCUUUACGUGUAGAGAGCUGAAGGUACCAAAUGAAUAAGCACCGGCUAACUCCGUGCCAGCCGCCGCAGUAA
rnacentral:rRNA from 1 species